ACCUGAUCCUAGGUUCCCCGGCCCCUUUAUAGUUUUUUUUUUCUGCUCAGGACGAACGCUGGCGGCGUGCUUAACACAUGCAAGUCGAACGAUGAACCACUUCGGUGGGGAUUAGUGGCGAACGGGUGAGUAACACGUGGGCAAUCUGCCCUUCACUCUGGGACAAGCCCUGGAAACGGGGUCUAAUACCGGAUACGACUACUGAGGGCAUCCUUGGUGGUGGAAAGCUCCGGCGGUGAAGGAUGAGCCCGCGGCCUAUCAGCUUGUUGGUGAGGUAACGGCUCACCAAGGCGACGACGGGUAGCCGGCCUGAGAGGGCGACCGGCCACACUGGGACUGAGACACGGCCCAGACUCCUACGGGAGGCAGCAGUGGGGAAUAUUGCACAAUGGGCGAAAGCCUGAUGCAGCGACGCCGCGUGAGGGAUGACGGCCUUCGGGUUGUAAACCUCUUUCAGCAGGGAAGAAGCGAAAGUGACGGUACCUGCAGAAGAAGCGCCGGCUAACUACGUGCCAGCAGCCGCGGUAAUACGUAGGGCGCAAGCGUUGUCCGGAAUUAUUGGGCGUAAAGAGCUCGUAGGCGGCUUGUCACGUCGAUUGUGAAAGCCCGAGGCUUAACCUCGGGUCUGCAGUCGAUACGGGCUAGCUAGAGUGUGGUAGGGGAGAUCGGAAUUCCUGGUGUAGCGGUGAAAUGCGCAGAUAUCAGGAGGAACACCGGUGGCGAAGGCGGAUCUCUGGGCCAUUACUGACGCUGAGGAGCGAAAGCGUGGGGAGCGAACAGGAUUAGAUACCCUGGUAGUCCACGCCGUAAACGGUGGGAACUAGGUGUUGGCGACAUUCCACGUCGUCGGUGCCGCAGCUAACGCAUUAAGUUCCCCGCCUGGGGAGU
rnacentral:rRNA from 1 species